rnacentral:rRNA from 1 species
UACGUAGGGGGCAAGCGUUGUUCGGAAUUACUGGGCGUACAGGGCUCGUAGGCGGCCAACUAAGUCAGACGUGAAAUCCCUCAGCUUAACUGGGGAACUGCGUCUGAUACUGGAUGGCUUGGAUUCGGGAGAGGAAUGCGGAAUUCCAGGUGUAGCGGUGAAAUGCGUAGAUAUCUGGAGGAACACCGGUGGCGAAGGCGGCAUUCUGGACCGAUAUUGACGCUGAGGAGCGAAAGCCAGGGGAGCAAACGGG